GAGAUAACUCCUACGGGAGGCAGCAGUGGGGAAUUUUGGACAAUGGGGGCAACCCUGAUCCAGCAAUGCCGCGUGAGUGAAGAAGGCCUUCGGGUUGUAUAGCUCUUUUGUCAGGGAAGAAACGGUAGUAGCUAAUAUCUAUUACUAAUGACGGUACCUGAAGAAUAAGCGCCGGCUAACUACGUGCCAGCAGCCGCGGUAAUACGUAGGGUGCAAGCGUUAAUCGGAAUUACUGGGCGUAAAGCGUGCGCAGGCGGUUGUGUAAGUCAGAUGUGACAUCCCCGGGCUCAACCUGGGAAUUGCAUUUGAGACUGGAUGGCUCGAGUGUGUCAGAGGUGGGUAGAAUUCCACGUGUAGCGGUGAAAUGCGUAGAUAUGUGGAGGAAUACCGAUGGCGAAGGCAGCCCCCUGGGAUAACACUGACGCUCAUGCACGAAAGCGUGGGGAGCAAACAGGAUUAGAAACCCUUGUAGUCCUCCACU
rnacentral:rRNA from 1 species